GACGAGGUCCACAAACGUUAUUCGGAAUUACUGGGCUUAAAGCGUGCGUAGGCGGCUUAGCAAGUCGGGUGUGAAAGCCCUCGGCUCAACCGAGGAAUUGCGCCCGAAACUGCUGAGCUUGAGUGAGACAGAGGUGAGCGGAACUGAUGGUGGAGCGGUGAAAUGCGUUGAUAUCAUCAGGAACACCGGUGGCGAAGGCGGCUCACUGGGUCUCAACUGACGCUGAGGUACGAAAGCCAGGGUAGCGAACGGG
rnacentral:rRNA from 1 species